rnacentral:misc_RNA from 1 species
CAAACCCCCUCAUAGAAAUUAUGGUAUUGAUGGAAGUGAACUGAGCCUACCAAUAUGCCCAGGUUACUCCAUUGAAAUGCAUAGGCAGGACAAUUAACCUCUGCAAUGGACUAAGUAGCUGUUUUGAAAACAUGAACCAGUCCCUUGCUAGGUUCCAGCCUGGCCUCCACGGACCUCCAUCCAAGAUGAAUUCUG